GACGAACGCUGGCGGCGUGCUUAACACAUGCAAGUCGAGCGGAAAGGCCCUGCUUUUGUGGGGUGCUCGAGUGGCGAACGGGUGAGUAACACGUGAGUAACCUGCCCUUGACUUUGGGAUAACUUCAGGAAACUGGGGCUAAUACCGGAUAGGAGCUCCUGCUGCAUGGUGGGGGUUGGAAAGUUUCGGCGGUUGGGGAUGGACUCGCGGCUUAUCAGCUUGUUGGUGGGGUAGUGGCUUACCAAGGCUUUGACGGGUAGCCGGCCUGAGAGGGUGACCGGCCACAUUGGGACUGAGAUACGGCCCAGACUCCUACGUGAGGCAGCAGUGGGGAAUAUUGCACAAUGGGCGGAAGCCUGAUGCAGCAACGCCGCGUGCGGGAUGACGGCCUUCGGGUUGUAAACCGCUUUCGCCUGUGACGAAGCGUGAGUGACGGUAAUGGGUAAAGAAGCACCGGCUAACUACGUGCCAGCAGCCGCGGUGAUACGUAGGGUGCGAGCGUUGUCCGGAUUUAUUGGGCGUAAAGGGCUCGUAGGUGGUUGAUCGCGUCGGAAGUGUAAUCUUGGGGCUUAACCCUGAGCGUGCUUUCGAUACGGGUUGACUUGAGGAAGGUAGGGGAGAAUGGAAUUCCUGGUGGAGCGGUGGAAUGCGCAGAUAUCAGGAGGAACACCAGUGGCGAAGGCGGUUCUCUGGGCCUUUCCUGACGCUGAGGAGCGAAAGCGUGGGGAGCGAACAGGCUUAGAUACCCUGGUAGUCCACGCUGUAAACGGUGGGUACUAGGUGUGGGGUCCAUUCCACGGGUUCCGUGCCGUAGCUAACGCUUUAAGUACCCCGCCUGGGGAGUACGGCCGCAAGGCUAAAACUCAAAGGAAUUGACGGGGCCCCGCACAAGCGGCGGAGCAUGCGGAUUAAUUCGAUGCAACGCGUAGAACCUUACCUGGGUUUGACAUGGAUCGGGAGUGCUCAGAGACGGGUGUGCCUCUUUUGGGGUCGGUUCACAGGUGGUGCAUGGCUGUCGUCAGCUCGUGUCGUGAGAUGUUGGGUUAAGUCCCGCAACGAGCGCAACCCUUGUUCACUGUUGCCAGCACGUUAUGGUGGGGACUCAGUGGAGACCGCCGGGGUCAACUCGGAGGAAGGUGGGGAUGACGUCAAGUCAUCAUGCCCCUUAUGUCCAGGGCUUCACGCAUGCUACAAUGGCUGGUACAGAGAGUGGCGAGCCUGUGAGGGUGAGCGAAUCUCGGAAAGCCGGUCUCAGUUCGGAUUGGGGUCUGCAACUCGACCUCAUGAAGUCGGAGUCGCUAGUAAUCGCAGAUCAGCAACGCUGCGGUGAAUACGUUCCCGGG
rnacentral:rRNA from 1 species